rnacentral:lncRNA from 1 species
AUAAUAUGCUUAUGUAUUUCUAGAAACUGAUGUAUAAAGGCUUCCUGGGAGUGAAAUGGUUCUUUCAGAAUGGCUUUUGGAUGAUACAUAUAUCUCUGAUGACAUAGAGAAACAUGCACUGCCUCAGUUGGGAUUAGAGGAUCUGAGCAGUGGCUGGCCACUCCAAUCACCAUGCUGUGCUGCCUUCUUCCAAGCCCCAUCUCACCAGAUCAUAUGGUCACAGCAGAAGGGCAUGUUUUCACACUGAGCACCAGAGGCUUUAGAACAACUUCACUUCUGUCCACAUGUCAACCACAAUGUUGACCUACGAGUGCAAGGCAUGUGUAAUGUGAUCAAGGAAGGUUCGCUGAGAUGCUGAAAUGAGAUACAGAAUACAAUGAUCAUAUUCAGGUAAUUUAUGGGUUGAAUUUUUCCAUGUUUAUGACUGAAAUCUAACAUGUAUUAUUUCACCAGG